rnacentral:lncRNA from 1 species
CAAAUCCAUGCCCUGUUCCUUUUGUGAUUCCCGAGAAUGCUCUGCUGUCUGAAAAGGAGUUUUAUGUUGAUCAGAAUGUGUCCAUCAAAUAAAUCUCAUGUGGUCCACCAGCUCACGUAGAAAAUGCAAUUGCUCGAGGCGUACAUUAUCAAUAUGGAGACAUGAUCACCUACUCAUGUUACAGUGGAUACAUGUUGGAGGGUUUCCUGAGGAGUGUUUGUUUAGAAAAUGGAACAUGGACAUCACCUCCUAUUUGCAGAGCUGUCUGUCGAUUUCCAUGUCAGAAUGGGGGCAUCUGCCAACGCCCAAAUGCUUGUUCCUGUCCAGAGGGCUGGAUGGGGCGCCUCUGUGAAGAACCAAUCUGCAUUCUUCCCUGUCUGAACGGAGGUCGCUGUGUGGCCCCUUACCAGUGUGACUGCCCGCCUGGCUGGACGGGGUCUCGCUGUCAUACAGCUGUUUGCCAGUCUCCCUGCUUAAAUGGUGGAAAAUGUGUAAGACCAAACCGAUGUCACUGUCUUUCUUCUUGGACGGGACAUAACUGUUCCAGGAAAAGGAGGACUGGGUUUUAACCACUGCACGACCAUCUGGCUCUCCCAAAAGCAGGAUCAUCUCUCCUCGGUAGUGCCUGGGCAUCCUGGAACUUAUGCAAAGAAAGUCCAACAUGGUGCUGGGUCUUGUUUAGUAAACUUGUUACUUGGGGUUACUUUUUUUAUUUUGUGAUAUAUUUUGUUAUUCCUUGUGACAUACUUUCUUACAUGUUUCCAUUUUUAAAUAUGCCUGUAUUUUCUAUAUAAAAAUUAUAUUAAAUAGAUGCUGCUCUACCC